rnacentral:lncRNA from 1 species
AUGGAUGUGGGUGCAGUCAGAGAGAGAGAGUGCUGUUAUCUGAUAUGUGAACAGACUGUCAGCAUGUCUACAGGCUGUGUGAGGUCACUCUCGGAGACAGCAGAGCACAGACUCGCCGCUCAGGAGCGUCCCUAUGAGGACAGUGAGAUGGACAGGCAGAAGCACAGCGCUGAGGAAAAUCAGCAGGACGAACUCGGACAAAAGAAGCCCCGCAGGAAAGACACGCCUGUGCUCAACUCUCCUCCACUUAUACCAGGGGUGAGAUUAAUGAAAGGGGAAGCCCGUCUGAUUCACAUGGAGGACGAAGAAAAGGAGGCAAAGAAAUAGCUGUAUUUUUACACCAUGGCGUACGCACUGAUUGUUGUUGUUGUUUGUUUCCCAUUGUUUUAAUAGCUUGCAUGUGUUAAAGCCUGUCUGAACCUUUCUCAAAUGUCUCAAAUGUUGUGCUUCAUUUUCCACGUGUCAGAGAUUUACAAUAUAUAAAUACACAUUUCUGC